AAUAGAUACCCCGGUAGUCCACGCCGUAAACGAUGAGUACUAGCUGUCGGAGGUUACCCCCUUCGGUGGCGCAGCUAACGCAUUAAGUACUCCGCCUGGGAAGUACGCUCGCAAGAGUGAAACUCAGAGGAAUUGACGGGGACCCGCACAAGUAGCGGAGCAUGUGGUUUAAUUCGAAGCAACGCGAAGAACCUUACCUAAGCUUGACAUCCUUUUGACCUCUCCCUAAUCGGAGAUUUCCCUUCGGGGACAGAAGUGACAGGUGGUGCAUGGUUGUCGUCAGCUCGUGUCGUGAGAUGUUGGGUUAAGUCCCGCAACGAGCGCAACCCUUGCCUUUAGUUGCCAGCAUUAAGUUGGGCACUCUAGAGGGACUGCCAGGGAUAACCUGGAGGAAGGUGGGGAUGACGUCAAAUCAUCAUGCCCCUUAUGCUUAGGGCUACACACGUGCUACAAUGGGUGGUACAGAGGGCAGCCAAGUCGUGAGGCGGAGCUAAUCCCUUAAAGCCAUUCUCAGUUCGGAUUGUAGGCUGAAACUCGCCUA
rnacentral:rRNA from 1 species